UACUCAGAUAACUGUGUAUGCUUCACGUAUUGCCCCUGAAACAUCAUUCUUUCAUAAGCCAUCAUGCACAUACACCUAAUCAAAACGAUAACUAAAUUGUCUUUCCCUCCCUCGAGGUUCUGAAGCUGCUUUAUCUCAACUGUUUCAAUCAGAUUGGCAACUCUACCACUUACCCCUCCCCACAGCGUUGGAAUAAACCAAUAGUUAAAUCAUUUCUUCCUUUGCAUAUUUAUAAAAUCGAUAUUGCCACCUAUGAACCCAAGUGGGUGUAAAGCCAAACGUGCUUCCUUGUGCAAAACUUGGAAAUAUGAAAGUUGAGCUGGUUGGUUGAGUUGUUUACUUCACGUUCAUGUACUGGGCGGAGAAGUAGCUCUUAGUAUUCCGCUAUGAAAGGAGAAACUUCUUAUAUUACCAUCACACGGUUUUUGUGGGGCCUCCAGAUCAUACAUACAUGGGGCCCCACAACUGAAGGCCACUGAUCAUUGAUCAUUGAUCCCUGUUCUCCCCACCUUCCACUCUAUAUCAAAAGGUCCCUAUUAUUGCGGGUUAGUCUGGUGGUUGAUUUACUACAUAUGUUUGUGGAUGGUGUGGCUGUCUCGGCAAGCUGCCAUUGACGUGAGGUGUGACGUAUGCGUAAUCACAAAGAUCACUGCUUGGUUUUAUUUAUAUUGUAGAAUUUGAGGUAAGGGUUAUGGUGAUGACGAUGUCCCACGUUGUUGAUAUCGUUGCUGGUUCGCACUGAAUGGCGCUUGUAGUAAGUAUAUAUAUAUAUAUCCGAAGCUGGUGGUGCUGUGUGAUAUUUUCUUGAUGA
rnacentral:sRNA from 1 species